GUGUCAGCCGCCGCGGUAAUACGGAGGGGGCCAGCGUUGUUCGGAAUUAUUGGGCGUAAAGGGCGCGUAGGCGGUCGAGUAAGUCUGACGUGAAAUCCCUUGGCUCAACCAAGGAACUGCGUCUUAAACUGCUCGGCUUGAGUCCGGGAGAGGGUAGUGGAAUUCCCAGUGUAGCGGUGAAAUGCGUAGAUAUUGGGAGGAACACCGGUGGCGAAGGCGGCUACCUGGACCGGUACUGACGCUGAGGCGCGAAAGCUAGGGUAGCAAACAGGAUUAGAAACCCCCGUAGUCC
rnacentral:rRNA from 1 species